GGGAGGGGGGCUGUUUAUUGAGAUGUUGUGGCCAGAAAUUUUUGAUGUCCAUAUGUCAAAAAUGUCAUCAGCACAACUUUAAGUUCACUAUGCAUGAGAUGUGUGGAUGGAAAGAAGAAAAGACUUUGCUUCAUGUACUUUGAUUUUCUUCAGAAAGCCAUUUGGGUUGGGAGAAAAGUUUUUCUUUUUCGUUUUCCUUUUUCAUUCUUUUUUCUUUUCUUAUUCUCUUUCUUUUUCAGUUGGAGGGAAGAUUAGCAGGAUUAAGACUGGCUCACAUAUGCUGCUCUUCACUACUGGCAUUCAUCACAACACAAGCCCAACUGCCACCCAGACGGGGAGAGAAAGAGAAAGAAAAAGAGUUUUAGGGCCCCCACCCACUGGAGCUCAUUGGUUCUUGAUGGGCUGUCGGAAAAGCGUUGACAUUGUCCCGGUGUCUUGCCCCGGGUGGUGGGGAGGAGGGACCUACUAUAAAAUAACCCCCGUCACUCUCGGGCGUGCCAAACACAAACAGUGCACGAGUGAACUGGAAUAACGAGGAAAUUCUUCAAAGCCACACACUAGCACGCGCUUGCACCUGCUACCGGAAUAUUGACAUCUGCGAGAAUCUGAA
rnacentral:lncRNA from 1 species